rnacentral:rRNA from 1 species
UACGUAGGGUGCGAGCGUUAAUCGGAAUUACUGGGCGUAAAGUGUGCGCAGGCGGUUGAGCAAGUCGAGUGUGAAAGCCCCGGGCUUAACUUUGGAAUUGCGCUCGAAACUACUUGACUGGAGUGUGGCAGAGGAAGGUGGAAUUCCACGUGUAGCGGUGAAAUGCGUAGAGAUGUGGAGGAACACCAAUGGCGAAGGCAGCCUUCUGGGCCAACACUGACGCUCAUGCACGAAAGCGUGGGGAGCAAACAGG